rnacentral:piRNA from 1 species
UGCAGGAGAGAAGGUGGACUUGAAGGA